rnacentral:rRNA from 1 species
GAUGAACGCUGGCGGCGUGCCUAAUACAUGCAAGUCGAGCGAACGGACGAGAAGCUUGCUUCUCUGAUGUUAGCGGCGGACGGGUGAGUAACACGUGGAUAACCUACCUAUAAGACUGGGAUAACUUCGGGAAACCGGAGCUAAUACCGGAUAAUAUUUUGAACCGCAUGGUUCAAAAGUGAAAGACGGUCUUGCUGUCACUUAUAGAUGGAUCCGCGCUGCAUUAGCUAGUUGGUAAGGUAACGGCUUACCAAGGCAACGAUGCAUAGCCGACCUGAGAGGGUGAUCGGCCACACUGGAACUGAGACACGGUCCAGACUCCUACGGGAGGCAGCAGUAGGGAAUCUUCCGCAAUGGGCGAAAGCCUGACGGAGCAACGCCGCGUGAGUGAUGAAAGUCUUCGGAUCGUAAAACUCUGUUAUUAGGGAAGAACAUAUGUGUAAGUAACUGUGCACAUCUUGACGGUACCUAAUCAGAAAGCCACGGCUAACUACGUGCCAGCAGCCGCGGUAAUACGUAGGUGGCAAGCGUUAUCCGGAAUUAUUGGGCGUAAAGCGCGCGUAGGCGGUUUUUUAAGUCUGAUGUGAAAGCCCACGGCUCAACCGUGGAGGGUCAUUGGAAACUGGAAAACUUGAGUGCAGAAGAGGAAAGUGGAAUUCCAUGUGUAGCGGUGAAAUGCGCAGAGAUAUGGAGGAACACCAGUGGCGAAGGCGACUUUCUGGUCUGUAACUGACGCUGAUGUGCGAAAGCGUGGGGAUCAAACAGGAUUAGAUACCCUGGUAGUCCACGCCGUAAACGAUGAGUGCUAAGUGUUAGGGGGUUUCCGCCCCUUAGUGCUGCAGCUAACGCAUUAAGCACUCCGCCUGGGGAGUACGACCGCAAGGUUGAAACUCAAAGGAAUUGACGGGGACCCGCACAAGCGGUGGAGCAUGUGGUUUAAUUCGAAGCAACGCGAAGAACCUUACCAAAUCUUGACAUCCUUUGACAACUCUAGAGAUAGAGCCUUCCCCUUCGGGGGACAAAGUGACAGGUGGUGCAUGGUUGUCGUCAGCUCGUGUCGUGAGAUGUUGGGUUAAGUCCCGCAACGAGCGCAACCCUUAAGCUUAGUUGCCAUCAUUAAGUUGGGCACUCUAAGUUGACUGCCGGUGACAAACCGGAGGAAGGUGGGGAUGACGUCAAAUCAUCAUGCCCCUUAUGAUUUGGGCUACACACGUGCUACAAUGGACAAUACAAAGGGCAGCGAAACCGCGAGGUCAAGCAAAUCCCAUAAAGUUGUUCUCAGUUCGGAUUGUAGUCUGCAACUCGACUACAUGAAGCUGGAAUCGCUAGUAAUCGUAGAUCAGCAUGCUACGGUGAAUACGUUCCCGGGUCU